rnacentral:rRNA from 1 species
UACGGGGGGGGCAAGCGUUGUUCGGAAUUACUGGGCGUAAAGGGUUCGUAGGUGGCUUGCUAAGUCAGACGUGAAAUCCCUCAGCUUAACUGGGGAACUGCGUCUGAGACUGGUGAGCUUGAGUGCAGGAGAGGAACGCGGAAUUCCAGGUGUAGCGGUGAAAUGCGUAGAUAUGCGGAGGAACACCGAUGGCGAAGGCAGUCCCCUGGGCCUGUACUGACGCUCAUGCACGAAAGCGUGGGGAGCAAACAGG